rnacentral:rRNA from 1 species
GACGAACGCUGGCGGCGUGCCUAAUACAUGCAAGUCGAGCGAAUCUUGAGGUGCUUGCACCUCUUGGUUAGCGGCGGACGGGUGAGUAACACGUGGGCAACCUGCCUGUAAGACUGGGAUAACUUCGGGAAACCGGAGCUAAUACCGGAUAAUCCUCUUCCUUUCAUGAGGAAAAGCUGAAAGGCGGUUUUUCGCUGACACUUACAGAUGGGCCCGCGGCGCAUUAGCUAGUUGGUGAGGUAACGGCUCACCAAGGCGACGAUGCGUAGCCGACCUGAGAGGGUGAUCGGCCACACUGGGACUGAGACACGGCCCAGACUCCUACGGGAGGCAGCAGUAGGGAAUCUUCCGCAAUGGACGAAAGUCUGACGGAGCAACGCCGCGUGAGCGAUGAAGGCCUUCGGGUCGUAAAGCUCUGUUGUUAGGGAAGAACAAGUAUCGGAGUAACUGCCGGUACCUUGACGGUACCUAACCAGAAAGCCACGGCUAACUACGUGCCAGCCGCCGCCGUAA